CGAACGGGUGAGUAACGCGUGAGUAACCUGCCCUGGAGUGGGGGACAACAGUUGGAAACGACUGCUAAUACCGCAUAAGCCCACGGAUCCGCAUGGAUCUGCGGGAAAAGGAUUUAUUCGCUUCAGGAUGGACUCGCGUCCAAUUAGCUAGUUGGUGAGGUAACGGCCCACCAAGGCGACGAUUGGUAGCCGGACUGAGAGGUUGAACGGCCACAUUGGGACUGAGACACGGCCCAG
rnacentral:rRNA from 1 species